AACGCGAAGAACCUUACCAAGGCUUGACAUACGCCGGAAAGCAUUAGAGAUGGUGCCCCCCUUGUGGUCGGUGUACAGGUGGUGCAUGGCUGUCGUCAGCUCGUGUCGUGAGAUGUUGGGUUAAGUCCCGCAACGAGCGCAACCCUUGUCCUGUGUUGCCAGCAUGCCCUUCGGGGUGAUGGGGACUCACAGGAGACCGCCGGGGUCAACUCGGAGGAAGGUGGGGACGACGUCAAGUCAUCAUGCCCCUUAUGUCUUGGGCUGCACACGUGCUACAAUGGCCGGUACAAUGAGCUGCGAUACCGUGAGGUGGAGCGAAUCUCAAAAAGCCGGUCUCAGUUCGGAUUGGGGUCUGCAACUCGACCCCAUGAGUCGAGUUGCGAGAAUCGCA
rnacentral:rRNA from 1 species